rnacentral:rRNA from 1 species
AGUGAACGCUGGCGGUAGGCCUAACACAUGCAAGUCGAACGGCAGCACAGUAAGAGCUUGCUCUUACGGGUGGCGAGUGGCGGACGGGUGAGGAAUACAUCGGAAUCUACUUUUUCGUGGGGGAUAACGUAGGGAAACUUACGCUAAUACCGCAUACGACCUACGGGUGAAAGCAGGGGAUCUUCGGACCUUGCGCGAUUGAAUGGGCCGAUGUCGGAUUAGCUAGUUGGCGGGGUAAAGGCCCACCAAGGCGACGCUCCGUAGCUGGUCUGAGAGGAUGAUCAGCCACACUGGAACUGAGACACGGUCCAGACUCCUACGGGAGGCAGCAGUGGGGAAUAUUGGACAAUGGGCGCAAGCCUGAUCCAGCCAUACCGCGUGGGUGAAGAAGGCCUUCGGGUUGUAAAGCCCUUUUGUUGGGAAAGAAAAGCAGCAGGUUAAUACCCCGCUGUUCUGACGGUACCCAAAGAAUAAGCACCGGCUAACUUCGUG